UUAUCUGUUCUCAUUUUUUUAACAAAGCAAGUGAGUCAUCUCUUUCACUUUUCUCCCAACUAAAAUCAACGAAAGAAAACUAAAUUCCUUUUAUUGAAGUGUAGGUUUCUGUUGGGUAAUUGUCAAACGUUUCAGCUUUCCUUAAAUAAUUUCUUUCUCUGUUUUCCUCUUCAACUGACUGUCCCUCUCUCUCUUCAUCUCAUCGACCAUGACCACGUGAUCCUCAAGUUGAUUGAAGAGUAAUCAGUCUGGGUUAGUAAGGGAAACAGUGAAGGUUGGAAGGCCAAGUUGUUUCAAGCAGCUUUUGAAGGCUUUCAUGUUGAUGGGCUGUCACCUAGUACUUUUCCUAUGG